rnacentral:rRNA from 1 species
UACGAAGGGGGCUAGCGUUGCUCGGAAUUACUGGGCGUAAAGGGCGCGUAGGCGGACAGUUUAGUCAGAGGUGAAAGCCCAGGGCUCAACCUUGGAAUUGCCUUUGAUACUGGCUGUCUUGAGUUCGGGAGAGGUGAGUGGAGUGCCGAGUGUAGAGGUGAAAUCCGUAGAUAUUCGGAAGAACACCAGUGGCGAAGGCGACACACUGGCCCGAUACUGACGCUGAGGCGCGAAAGCGUGGGGAGCAAACAGG